AUUGAACGCUGGCGGCAUGCCUUACACAUGCAAGUCGAACGGCAGCGGACCUUCGGGUGCCGGCGAGUGGCGAACGGGUGAGUAAAGUAUCGGAACGUACCUUACAGUGGGGGUUAACGUAGCGAAAGUUACGCUAAUACCGCAUAUUCUGUGAGCAGGAAAGCAGGGGAUCGCAAGACCUUGCGCUGAUUGAGCGGCCGAUAUCAGAUUAGCUAGUUGGUGAGGUAAAGGCUCACCAAGGCGACGAUCUGUAGCGGGUCUGAGAGGAUGAUCCGCCACACUGGAACUGAGACACGGUCCAGACUCCUACGGGAGGCAGCAGUGGGGAAUUUUGGACAAUGGGGGCAACCCUGAUCCAGCCAUGCCGCGUGAGUGAAGAAGGCCUUCGGGUUGUAAAGCUCUUUCGGCCGGGAAGAAAUCGCACAGGCUAAUACCCUGUGUGGAUGACGGUACCGGAAUAAGAAGCACCGGCUAACUACGUGCCAGCCGCCGCCGUAACAC
rnacentral:rRNA from 1 species